CGCUGGCGGCACGCCUAACACAUGCAAGUCGAACGAAGUAGCAAUACUUAGUGGCAGACGGGUGAGUAACAUGUAGGUAUCUGCCCUUUGGCCUGGAAUAACACGAGGAAACUUGUGCUAAUACCGGAUAAGUCUUUACGGAGAAAGCUUUAUGCACCAUUGGAUGAGCCUGCACUUGAUUAGUUUGUUGGUGGGGUAAUGGCCUACCAAGACUGUGAUCAAUAGCUGAUUUGAGAGGAUGAUCAGCCACAUUGGGACUGAGACACGGCCCAAACUCCUACGGGAGGCAGCAGUGGGGAAUCUUGCACAAUGGAGGAAACUCUGAUGCAGCGAUGCCGCGUGAGUGAAGAAGGCCUUUGGGUUGUAAAGCUCUUUCGUCGGGGAAGAAAAUGACUGUACCCGAAUAAGAAGGUCCGGCUAACUUCGUGCCAGCAGCCGCGGUAAUACGAAGGGACCUAGCGUAGUUCGGAAUUACUGGGCUUAAAGAGUUCGUAGGUGGUUGAAAAAGUUGGUGGUGAAAUCCCAGAGCUUAACUCUGGAACUGCCAUCAAAACUUUUCAGCUAGAGUAUGAUAGAGGAAAGUAGAAUUUCUAGUGUAGAGGUGAAAUUCGUAGAUAUUAGAAAGAAUACCAAUUGCGAAGGCAGCUUUCUGGAUCAUUACUGACACUGAGGAACGAAAGCAUGGGUAGCGAAGAGGAUUAGAUACCCUCGUAGUCCAUGCCGUAAACGAUGUGUGUUAGACGUUGGAAAUUUAUUUUCAGUGUCGCAGCGAAAGCGAUAAACACACCGCCUGGGGAGUACGACCG
rnacentral:rRNA from 1 species